rnacentral:tRNA from 1 species
AGCGGAGUAGGGCAGUCAGGAGUGCCCGAUGGGCUCAUAACCCAUAGGUCGCUAGUUCAAAUCUAGCCUCCGCUA